GCUGGGCACAGUGGUGCAUGCCUGUAAUCCCAGCAGCUUGGGAGGCUGAGGCAAGAGGAUCAGAAGUUCAAAGUCAGCCUCAGCAACUUAACAAGGCCCUAAGCAACUUAGUGAGACCCUGUCUUAA
rnacentral:sRNA from 1 species